AUUGAACGCUGGCGGCAGGCCUAACACAUGCAAGUCGAGCGAGCGGCGGACGGGUGAGUAAUGUAUGGGGACUGCCCGAAAGAGGGGGAUAACUACUGGAAACGGUGGCUAAUACCGCAUACUAUCGGAUAACCAAAAUGGGCUUAUCUAGUAGGUGGGGUAAAGGCUAACCAAGGCGAAGAUCUCUAGCUGGUCUGAGCGGAUGAUCAGCCACACUGGGACUGAGACACGGCCCAGAUUCCUACGGAGGCAGCAGUGGGGAAUAUUGCACAAUGGGCGCUAGCCUGAUGCAGCCAUGCCGCGUGUAUGACGAAGGCCUUAGGGUUGUAAAGUACGUUCAGCGGGGAGGCGUUACCCGCAGAAGAAGCACCGGCUAACUCCGUGCCAGCAGCCGCGGUAAUAC
rnacentral:rRNA from 1 species